GGGUUGUGAGGUUAAGCGACUAAGCGUACACGGUGGAUGCCCUGGCAGUCAGAGGCGAUGAAGGACGUGCUAAUCUGCGAAAAGCGCCGGCGAGGUGAUAUGAACCUUUGACCCGGCGAUGUCCGAAUGGGGAAACCCAGUGUGUUCCGACACACUAUCGUUAACUGAAUACAUAGGUUAACGAGGCGAACCGGGGGAACUGAAACAUCUAAGUACCCCGAGGAAAAGAAAUCAACCGAGAUUCCCCCAGUAGCGGCGAGCGAACGGGGAGCAGCCCAGAGUCUGAAUCAGCUUGUGUGUUAGUGGAAGCGUCUGGAAAGUCGCAGGGUACAGGGUGAUACUCCCGUACACGAAAACACAC
rnacentral:rRNA from 1 species